AACGAACGCUGGCGGCAUGCCUAACACAUGCAAGUCGAACGAGACCUUCGGGUCUAGUGGCGCACGGGUGCGUAACGCGUGGGAACCUGCCUUUAGGUUCGGAAUAACUCAGAGAAAUUUGAGCUAAUACCGGAUGAUGUCUUCGGACCAAAGAUUUAUCGCCUUUAGAUGGGCCCGCGUUGGAUUAGCUAGUUGGUGGGGUAAAGGCCUACCAAGGCGACGAUCCAUAGCUGGUCUGAGAGGAUGAUCAGCCACACUGGGACUGAGACACGGCACAGACUCCUACGGGAGGCAGCAGUGGGGAAUAUUGGACAAUGGGCGAAAGCCUAAUCCAGCAAUGCCGCGUGAGUGAUGAAGGCCUUAGGGUUGUAAAGCUCCUUUACCCGAGAUGAUAAUGACAGUAUCGGGAGAAUAAGCUCCGGCUAACUCCGUG
rnacentral:rRNA from 1 species